CCAUGAACAACGCUAGAUUAACCAACAUUCUCCAAAAAGCGUUCCUACGAGGUUCUCUUUUUCUAUUUAUUUUGGAGGAAGAUGAAGCCCAUGAAGUAUGGAAAUCGCCCUGAGAAUGGAGAUGAAUUCAUUUUUUUUGAAAGGGUCAAUCUUGGGUGCAGUGCCUUCCUUAUUUUAAAAUUCUAGGUGGAAGGGAUUGCAAUGGUUGACUCUACAU
rnacentral:sRNA from 1 species